GUGUCAGCAGCCGCGGUAAUACGUAGGUGGCAAGCGUUGUCCGGAUUUAUUGGGUUUAAAGGGUGCGUAGGCGGUUCCUUAAGUCAGCGGUGAAAUACGACAGCUUAACUGUCGAGGUGCCAUUGAUACUGGGGAACUUGAGUACUGAUGAGGUAUGCGGAAUGGACGGUGUAGCGGUGAAAUGCUUAGAUAUCGUCCAGAACACCGAUAGCGAAGGCAGCAUACUAAGGAGUAACUGACGCUGAGGCACGAAAGUGUGGGGAUCAAACAGGAUUAGAUACCCCGGUAGUCC
rnacentral:rRNA from 1 species